rnacentral:sRNA from 1 species
AGUUCGGCGCCGCUUCUGUGGCCACGGCAGCUUCACGGUGAUGAUAUGGCAUCUGCUAGCUCUAGCCGGGCAGGAGUGGCCCUGCCUUUUGAGAAGUCUCAGCUCACUUUGAAAGUGGUGUCCGCAAAGCCCAAGGUGCAUAAUCGUCAACCUCGAAUUAACUCCUACGUGGAGGUGGCGGUGGAUGGACUCCCCAGUGAGACCAAGAAGACUGGGAAGCGCAUUGGGAGCUCUGAGCUUCUCUGGAAUGAGAUCAUCAUUUUGAAUGUCACGGCCCAGAGUCAUUUAGAUUUAAAGGUCUGGAGCUGCCAUACCUUGAGAAAUGAACUGCUAGGCACCGCGUCUGUCAACCUCUCCAACGUCUUGAAGAACAAUGGGGGCAAAAGUACGUAUGAUGAAGGGGGCGCCGACGUGAUUCAUUGGUGGGGAUGGGAGGACCUGGCAGAUCAACCUGGUGUUGCAGUUUCCCCCAGGACUAGGGGCUGCGGUACCUCUGUUCUCCUUGGAUGCUGUCUUUGCAGUUUUAGGAAGGCUGAGGACUCCUCUCUGCCUCCACUACAGAGUUUAGCCCUAUUUGUCCAGG